rnacentral:rRNA from 1 species
GUGGCGAACGGGUGAGUAACACGUAGGUAACCUGCCCAUGUGCCCGGGAUAACUUCUGGAAACGGAUGCUAAAACCGGAUAGGUAGCAGACAAGCAUUUGACUGCUAUUAAAGUGGCCUUGGCCAUGAACAUGGAUGGACCUGCGGUGCAUUAGCUAGUUGGUGAGGUAACGGCCCACCAAGGCGACGAUGCAUAGCCGGCCUGAGAGGGCGGACGGCCACAUUGGGACUGAGACACGGCCCAAACUCC